UCUCAGUUCCCAUAGAUGCUACUUUUCCUGAAGCACAUCUGCUAAGCACUCUUCUGCACAUGCAAGGAGGGUGUGAAAAGUUCAAGGGUGCUCAGAAAAGGGCAUUUGAGUGUUGAUUGAGUGCUGUCCAUGCUCUGAAUUCAGACAUACCGUGGAGUGGAAUAACAGGGUGCUUGCACCUCUUGCUUUGAGUACCGCAGAAGAAUGAGCCAUUCUUGAGAAAGCCCCUUGAGAAGAGAAAUUUCCAGUUAAAGGAACUAUUCACCCCUGGCUAGUGGUCAAGCCACUUUGUUUUCAAGAGAGGACUUUACAAAGGCCAUCAGGAGCUUCACAACACUGGAGCAGAGUGAAUACUUGGUUUAGUAUAUUAGGCCCUUCAAGCCACUCCUUCAUAAUCCUCUAACUGUGCUCGAAAUUCCCACCUUCUCAAAACUCCUAGUCUCUUGACCAUAUCUGGUCCUGUUGUACUUGAGUGCCUUUGCGCAUGUUUCUUCUGCUUGAAGUCAUGUCUUCGCUGUUAAAGGCAAAACCCAGAACAAGUAAGGAAGUGUUGCAAUAGGGAGUGCACCAAGGUUGGAGAUCAGAGUGUUUUGGCAGGGUGGUUUUGCCUUUAACUUUAUAGGGAGGAGUAGACAAGCCAUAGAUAGGAUGAUUUUGCAGCUGGGGUUGUUUUUGUAAUCAGAGGGAGGCUCGGUCAGUUAGAUGAGCAAGAAGAGUUUAUCCCUCAGUCAAGCUAGUUUUAGGGGGAUAAACAGUUCAGUUAAUCAUUUAUGAGAUAAAGGAUGGGAAUUUUCAGGGUCAGUGUCUGGUCUUGUCACAUAUAAACGAGGGAGCCAUCUGUGAGUCUCAUGGGAGUUAGGAGGCAGGGUAAACCUUGAGUCUUGUUUACAUCAGAGUAUAUGGUUCUUUGCCAUUAGCCCUUUUCCAGGACACAUAAGGGGAGAGGGAUUUUGGAAAACAAAAGGUAAGAAAGAUUGUCUCCAUUCUCUAGGACCACAGGUUUAGGUAAAGUUUAACAUUGUCACUACCCUGGUCCAGAAAACUCUUGUUAAACAUUUUGGCCCCUAUGGCUUUUUUUUCAUCAUAAUCAGACUCUGAGAUAUAUUUUCUUGCAGGAUGUUUUCUGGGGAGUAAUCUUGGGAUCCAUACCUGUGGGGAGCAGUUGAGGAAAGCUGGUUUUGGUGGAGCAGAGUUUAACAAACCAAAUAUGGUCCAUGGCAUGUUUGUAUGUGGUCCUGAGCUAAGUAAGAAUGGUUUUUACAUUUUUAAUGUGUGUGUGUGUGUGUGUGUGU